GUCUUUGUAGUGUAUUAAACACGUUAGGUUUUCGUUCUAAAGAAGGAGUUGCUUCUCUCAAAGAUU
rnacentral:tRNA from 1 species